rnacentral:rRNA from 1 species
UACGUAGGGUGCGAGCGUUAAUCGGAAUUACUGGGCGUAAAGCGCACGCAGGCGGUCUGUCAAGUCGGAUGUGAAAUCCCCGGGCUCAACCUGGGAACUGCAUUCGAAACUGGCAGGCUAGAGUCUUGUAGAGGGGGGGUAGAAUUCCAGGUGUAGCGGUGAAAUGCGUAGAGAUCUGGAGGAAUACCGGUGGCGAAGGCGGCCCCCUGGACAAAGACUGACGCUCAGGUGCGAAAGCGUGGGGAGCAAACAGG